rnacentral:rRNA from 1 species
CCUACGGGCGGCAGCAGUGGGGAAUAUUGGACAAUGGGCGAAAGCCUGAUCCAGCCAUGCCGCGUGUGUGAAGAAGGCCUUCGGGUUGUAAAGCACUUUCAGUGGGGAAGAAAGCCUUGGGGCUAAUACCCUCGAGGAAGGACAUCACCCACAGAAGAAGCACCGGCUAACUCCGUGCCAGCAGCCGCGGUAAUACGGAGGGUGCGAGCGUUAAUCGGAAUUACUGGGCGUAAAGCGCGCGUAGGCGGUCUGAUAAGCCGGUUGUGAAAGCCCCGGGCUCAACCUGGGAAUGGCAUCCGGAACUGUCAGGCUAGAGUGCAGGAGAGGAAGGUAGAAUUCCCGGUGUAGCGGUGAAAUGCGUAGAGAUCGGGAGGAAUACCAGUGGCGAAGGCGGCCUUCUGGACUGACACUGACGCUGAGGUGCGAAAGCGUGGGUAGCAAACAGGAUUAGAUACCCUUGUAGUC